GACGAACGCUGGCGGCGUGCUUAACACAUGCAAGUCGAACGGAAAGGCCCUGCUUUUGUGGGGUGCUCGAGUGGCGAACGGGUGGGUAACACGUGAGUAACCUGCCCUUGACUUUGGGAUAACUUCAGGAAACUGGGGCUAAUACCGGAUAGGAGCUCCUGCUGCAUGGUGGGGGUUGGAAAGUUUCGGCGGUUGGGGAUGGACUCGCGGCUUAUCAGCUUGUUGGUGGGGUAGUGGCUUACCAAGGCUUUGACGGGUAGCCGGCCUGAGAGGGUGACCGGCCACAUUGGGACUGAGAUACGGCCCAGACUCCUACGGGAGGCAGCAGUGGGGAAUAUUGCACAAUGGGCGGAAGCCUGAUGCAGCAACGCUGCGUGCGGGAUGACGGCCUUCGGGUUGUAAACCGCUUUCGCCUGUGACGAAGCGUGAGUGACGGUAAUGGGUAAAGAAGCACCGACUAACUACGUG
rnacentral:rRNA from 1 species